rnacentral:rRNA from 1 species
CCUACGGGAGGCAGCAGUGGGGAAUAUUGCACAAUGGGGGAAACCCUGAUGCAGCGACGCCGCGUGAGUGAAGAAGGAUCUCGGUACGUAAAGCUCUAUCAGCAGGGAAGAAAAGGACGGUACCUGACUAAGAAGCCCCGGCUAACUACGUGCCAGCAGCCGCGGUAAUACGUAGGGGGCAAGCGUUAUCCGGAUUUACUGGGUGUAAAGGGAGCGUAGACGGCAGCACAAGUCUGGAGUGAAAUCCCGGGGCUUACCCCCGGAACUGCUUUGGAAACUGUGCGGCUGGAGUGCAGGAGGGGUCAGCGGAAUUCCUAUUGUAGCGGUGAAAUGCGUAGAUAUUAGGAGGAACACCGGUGGCGAAGGCGGCUUACUGGACUGUACCUGACGUUGAGGCUCGACAGCGUGGGGAGCAAACAGGAUUAGAUACCCUGGUAGUC